UACGGAGGGUGCGAGCGUUAAUCGGAAUUACUGGGCGUAAAGCGCGCGUAGGCGGUUUGAUAAGCUGGAUGUGAAAUCCCCGGGCUCAACCUGGGAAUUGCAUCCAGAACUGUCUGACUAGAGUACAGUAGAGGGUGGCGGAAUUUCCUGUGUAGCGGUGAAAUGCGUAGAUAUAGGAAGGAACAUCAGUGGCGAAGGCGGCCACCUAGGCUGACACUGACGCUGAGGUGCGAAAGCGUGGGGAGCAAACAGG
rnacentral:rRNA from 1 species